rnacentral:rRNA from 1 species
GACAUCUCCGGCCUCAACCGAGCUCUCAUUAUUCUUCUCCCGAAGAAUAAUGACGCCAGGUCCCCAAAUGACUUUCGCCCCAUCUCCCUCCAAAAUUGCCCUAUCAAAGGUGUUGCCAAACUCCUUAUCAACAGACAUAAAGCUCACAUCCCUCUUCUGGUCCACGCCGAUCAAACUGGCUUCCUAUCUGGUUGCAACAUCUCGGAAAACUUCCUCUAUGUCGCUGACAUUCUCCACUGCUGCGCCAAGAAAAAGGCCACAUCCAUCGUUGUCAAGCUGGACUUUCGGAAAGCGUUCGACUCAAUCUGUUGGUCCUCCCUACUCCACACCUUAUAG